UAGGGAAUUUUCCACAAUGGGCGCAAGCCUGAUGGAGCAACGCCGCGUGCAGGAUGAAGGCUUUCGGGUCGUAAACUGCUUUUAUGUACGAAGAUUUUGACGGUAAUACAUGAAUAAGGAUCGGCUAACUACGUGCCAGCAGCCGCGGUCAUACGUAGGAUCCAAGCGUUAUCCGGAAUUACUGGGCGUAAAGAGUUGCGUAGGUGGCAUUGUAAGCAAAACAUGAAAUCGUGUGGCUCAACCAUACGGCUAUGUCUUGAACUGCAAAGCUUGAGAGCGAGAGGGGUAGAUGGAAUUACUAGUGUAGGAGUGAAAUCCGUAGAUAUUAGUAGGAACACCGAUAGCGUAGGCAGUCUACUGGCUCGUUUCUGACACUGAGGCACGAAAGCGUGGGGAGCAAAUGGG
rnacentral:rRNA from 1 species